rnacentral:rRNA from 1 species
UAAGGAAUAUUGGGCAAUGGACGCAAGUCUGACCCAGCCAUGCCGCGUGAAGGAUGACGGCCCUAUGGGUUGUAAACUUCUUUUGUACGGGAAAAAACCUUCGAACGUGUUCGAAGCUGAUGGUACCGUAAGAAUAAGCAUCGGCUAACUCCGUGCCAGCAGCCGCGGUAAUACGGAUGAUGCAAGCGUUAUCCGGAUUCAUUGGGUUUAAAGGGUGCGCAGGCGGAUUAAUAAGUCAGUGGUGAAAUCCUACGGCUCAACUGUAGAACUGCCAUUGAUACUGUUAGUCUUGAGUAUUGUUGAGGUAGGCGGAAUGUGUCAUGUAGCGGUGAAAUGCUUAGAUAUGACACAGAACACCAAUCGCGAAGGCAGCUUACCAAGCAAUAACUGACGCUCAUGCACGAAAGCGUGGGGAUCAAACA